UGACUCCGUAGCGGGAGACCCGGCCGUAGGUGGGGCGCAGCCCCACGCAGCCGCAGUGGGAGGCGGGCUGGCGGAUGCUGCCGCCGGUGUCGG
rnacentral:tRNA from 1 species